AUAAGCUUGGAUCUUCUCAUUCUGAACCCAACUAUACAAAUUUCCUGUAGCUACAAGAACCAGCAUGGUUUGUGACUGAAAUGGGCUAUUGUUAAAAUGAUAUAUUACCCCCUACUCAACAUGAAGACAGUGAGGAUGAAGACCUUUAUGAUGAUCCAUUUCCACUUAAUGAAUAGCAUCAACCAUGAGCUUGUUGAAGAGGCAUUUGGGGGUAGCGAGGAGCAGAGAGAGAACUUUCCAACCACACUACCUGCGUUUUUGAAAGGCUGACAUGGCUCUUGGUUCUCAAAUCAGCCUCAAAAUAGCCUGAAAAGCCUGGAGUCCACUCACAGAAGAGCAGACCUCCUCCGGUCAUCAUCAAAGGGGUCCAUAAGGAUGAUCACCUUCAGGCUCGGGGUGAAGCCUUUCUCUACAUUCCCUAUCAGCACCAAUGCCUUUUGGGGUGUGUCACAGAUCACCAUGGCGAUAUCAGCUGGAAGCCAAAAUAGAACCAGAGACUCACCAUGGACAUUGGUACAUGCUGGU
ensembl:lncRNA novel transcript, antisense to ACSL5